GACGAACGCUGGCGGCGUGCCUAAAACAUGCGAGUCGAGCGGUCCCUUCGGGGAUAGCGGCGGACGGGUGAGUAACACGUAGGCAACCUGCCUUUAAGACUGGGAUAACUAUCGGAAACGAUAGCUAAGACCGGAUAGCUGAUUUUCUCGCAUGGGAGAAUCAUGAAACACGGAGCAAUCUGUGGCUUGAAGAUGGGCCUGCGGCGCGUUAGCUAGUUGGGAGGGUAACGGCCUACCAAGGCGACGAUGCGUAGCCGACCUGAGAGGGUGAACGGCCACACUGGGACUGAGACACGGCCCAGACUCCUACGGGAGGCAGCAGUAGGGAAUCUUCCGCAAUGGACGAAAGUCUGACGGAGCAACGCCGCGUGAGUGAUGAAGGUUUUCGGAUCGUAAAGCUCUGUUGCCCUAGACGAACAGCAUCAGGAGUAACUGCCUGGUGUGUGACGGUAUAGGAGAAGAAAGCCCCGGCUAACUACGUGCCAGCCGCCGCAGUAAUAC
rnacentral:rRNA from 1 species